GAUGAACGCUAGCGGGAGGCCUAACACAUGCAAGCCGAGCGGGAUUUAGUAGUUAGCUUGCUAACUACUGAUGAGAGCGGCGUACGGGUGCGGAACACGUGUGCAACCUGCCUUUAUCUGGGAGAUAGCCUUUCGAAAGGAAGAUUAAUAUCCCAUAAUAUAUUGAUUGGCAUCGAUUAAUAUUGAAAGCUCCGGCGGAUAAAGAUGGGCACGCGCAAGAUUAGAUAGUUGGUGAGGUAACGGCUCACCAAGUCAAUGAUCUUUAGGGGGCCUGAGAGGGUGAUCCCCCACACUGGUACUGAGACACGGACCAG
rnacentral:rRNA from 1 species